UGCGUAGGCGGGUCUUUAAGUCAGGGGUGAAAUCCUGGAGCUCAACUCCAGAACUGCCUUUGAUACUGAAGAUCUUGAGUUCGGGAGAGGUGAGUGGAACUGCGAGUGUAGAGGUGAAAUUCGUAGAUAUUCGCAAGAACACCAGUGGCGAAGGCGGCUCACCGGCCCGAUACUGACGCUAAGGCACGAAAGCGUGGGAGCAAACA
rnacentral:rRNA from 1 species